rnacentral:rRNA from 1 species
UGGGGAAUAUUGCACAAUGGGGGAAACCCUGAUGCAGCGACGCCGCGUGAACGAAGAAGGUAUUCGUAUCGUAAAGUUCUGUCCUAUGGGAAGAUAAUGACAGUACCAUAGAAGAAAGCUCCGGCUAAAUACGUGCCAGCAGCCGCGGUAAUACGUAUGGAGCGAGCGUUGUCCGGAAUUAUUGGGCGUAAAGGGUACGCAGGCGGUUUAAUAAGUCGAAUGUUAAAGAUCGGGGCUCAACCCCGUAAAGCAUUGGAAACUGAUAGACUUGAGUAGUGGAGAGGAAAGUGGAAUUCCUAGUGUAGUGGUGAAAUACGUAGAUAUUAGGAGGAAUACCAGUAGCGAAGGCGACUUUCUGGACACAAACUGACGCUGAGGUACGAAAGCGUGGGGAGCAAACAGG